rnacentral:lncRNA from 1 species
GUUAAAAACACUAAACUAGACUCAAAGAAUUCAAAACAAACACAAAGAACUCAAAACAAGCUAAAAACACUCAAAUUUGCCUAAAAACACAAACUGGGCAGAUUUGGAUUCUAACACACUUUUGGACGAAUUUUGGUUUUAACUUGGUUCGAAAUACUUAAAAGCACAAACUAAAUCAGUUUCUAACUAAUAUGACUCAACAAGGUAAAGGGGGGUUUUGGUUUUGAUGAAUUUGAAAACAAUACAAAUAAAUUAAAGAACUAAUGAAAUCUGCACGAAUUUGAGUAAAUUGAAUGGAUGGAAGGCUAGCUAGGAGGUUCUUCUCCACACAUGACACACUUGCAAACAAAACGAUUUCCAGUUGCUUUUCAAUAAACUACGAAUUCUCAAAGCCCCAGAUUAACUGUGAAUUGCACUAAUUAACCCUCAGAUUUUCCUAAUUUCAUUGAAUUGGAUGAUUGCAUACAACAACCCAAAGCAUUCCCCACAAGUUCCCUACAUGAAUUGCAUAAUAGAGAUACAAGCAAGAAUCAUUAAGUUCUAUGAAAAUCAUAAACAUUAAGUUCUAUGAAUUGCAUGAAACUUAUGCCAAGAAUUUACUUAACACGGUUGUGACGAGCAACCUUCACUACUUGUGAAUAUAAGUUCAUAACGAUUAGGUGAAACUCCCUUAUAUCCUAGCACUAGAUUUAUGCAUGAAAAUUAAGUGUGCACUCUCAACCAACACACAUAAAUCAGUUUUAAUUCAAAUGGAUAAGUAGAUUGAAUUCACAACUUAUGAAUCACAACUGAAAGUAAUCAAAUCAUAUUGCAAGCAUGAACAUGGUUUCGAAUUCCCCCCUAGCUAAGGGGGGUUUAGUUACUCAUAAUUGCAACAAAAUCAGAAAAUAACAAAGUAGACAUUGAAAGCAAGAACGAAGUACACCUAAAACGCUCCAAAGUUUCAAGCUUGAAAUGCCAAGGACCUUCGUUUUCACCACCUUGUUGCAGCACAACUGUCUAAGGAUGUGUAUGGAUAUAUGGAAAGGUUAUGAAUGUAUUUAGGAUUGGUGAAGCUCUCGGCCAAGGGAAGGGAGUGUAUGGAGAUGUGUUUUGAGAUAUAUGGGAAUGAAUGGAUGAAUGGAUGGUGCUCACGGCCAAGGAAUGAAAGUGUAAGUGUAUGGAGUUGUGAGAUGUGAAUGUAGUGUCUUUGGAUGGAUUUUUUCUGAUUUUCCUCCUUUGUUAUGGUGAAGGGUGGAUGUAUUUAUAGGCUAGGGAAAGGACCACCAUCUAAUUAAGGUGGUAGUGAUGAGUGUUGUGGUAAUGAGUGGAUGUAAUGGGUGUGGUGGAUGGAUGUUUGGUAAUGAGUGGAUGUAAUGGGUGUAGUGGAUGGAUGUUUGGUAAUGAGUCGAUGUAAUGGGUGUAGUGGAUGAAUUUUUUCUGCUGCCCAUGCCGUGCCUUUCUUGCUGUUUUCUCUCUUUAUUUCCACAUGUACCAGCUGUUACUCUUGCACAGACAUGCUCUUCAUCAUUUCAGUUACCAAUCAACACCUUUUCUGCCCAUGCCGUGUUCCUCUUCGCAUGUGUGUGUGCUGUUCAUGUUUCUUCAUGUGCCGUGUUCAUCUUCAUCAUUUCAGCUAGCAAUCAACACAUUUUCUGUCAUCACAUGGCAGCUAUGAUGUUUGUAGUUGUAGGUCAACACACUUGCACACACACAUGCUGAUUUCUAGCCUUCUAAUAUUUAAAAACGUCCAUCCUCAUGUCUCCAUGCUUGCACCAUCCAAUCUUGGCCCAAAAAUGCUCCAAAAUGCUCCAAAUAGCACUUUGUUGCCAACUUUGUUAUUUGAACCUACAAACACACGAAAAUAGCUUAAAGUACUAAAAUAACUAGAAUUAAACUAAGUAAAUGCCAAGAAACAAGCUAACUAAGUUGCAUAAAUAUGCUCUUAUCAAAUUCCCCCACACUUAGCUUUUGCUAGUCCUCGAGCAAAAGAAAAGAAACAAAACGAAACAAAACAAACAAAACACAACCUAACCUUCCAACAUUUGCCUCAGGGAUUUCCAUGUUGGAAAUGUGCCCUAAAACCAAUCAUGUGAUGAUACUUUACGGAAAUUUCACAUGUUAAACUAAUCUAGUUUAAUAUCAAGGGCAAAGAUUAUUGUUUGAGCCGUCUCAUAUAAUGUUAUACGCUUAAACGAUAAGUCCAAGGAAUAUGUGAUUGGGAGAAUGCGAUCUAAAGAAGUUAGAUUCAUGAGACCAUUCUUUCGUAGACACAUCCUAAACGUUCCUGAUCAUAGGAUUGCCAAUUGGGCAUUGACAGUCCGUUAAGAUCAGUACGUGCUGUGUCUUCUCUUAGGGAGAGUGACUAGUCUC